rnacentral:lncRNA from 13 species
AAGGUGGCACUGUAGGAGCAGCUCAGGAUUGCAGCUCCCAAGGAAAGCACAGAAGAAUUUCACAUAAUCCAUUGCCAGUGGAAUUUCACAAAGUCCCUGACUUAGUGACUGAGCGCAGCCCUCCAAAAGAAUGCCCUGAAAAUGAGAGAGCACAGGCUCCCAUGUCUCUUGCCUGAAUCAGUGCAUUUUUUAGAAAAGGAGCUCAUGAUUAGCUGCCUUGAAGAAGAGUUGUGA